UAUUUCAACUCAAAAAGUCAUCAACAACAAAGUUGUAUAACUCAUCAAGAUCUAUAACUUUUAUUUUGGUCAUUUUUUCAUCCGAUAAAGUGAUAGUAACAUUGUUCACAAAAUUCACAUAUCUCUCAUCUAGUUUUAUAAACUAUAACACAGAUAUGUAAAUUUUGUAAACAAUGUUACCAACACUAUAUCGGAUGAAGAAAUGACAAACAUAAAAGUUAUAGAUCUUGGUGAGUUAUACAACUUUGUUGUUGAUGACUUUUUUAGUUGAAAUC
rfam:Oryza sativa Japonica Group DNA, chromosome 5, cultivar: Nipponbare, complete sequence.